rnacentral:lncRNA from 1 species
GGAAGGUAGGCGCGGAGCCGGGAGCCCCAGCUCCCCAGCCGCGGGCGAGCGUCCUUGGGGACGUCACAGCGCUGGAAUCCGAGGAAUGCCGGGCUGCUGGAGCUCCUUCUGCAGGCCCCGGGGAAGUCGCGCACUUUGAAUGUGGUGGCUUUGGAGAAGGUUUUCGAAGGGCUCUUGAAGUCAUUGCCACUGAUGAUGUUGUCCCAAAUUCCUUCAAGCCCACAACGCCGGGUCUCUUGCGGAAGAGAACUGGAAACCCCAAAGCAGAGCCUCUUAGAUCCAUCAGGUACAAAUCUGUGGUCACCACACUGACAUCUUUGAGCAAUUGCCCGUCUCCAUAUCUACGAAGAAGCAAAGACCAUAAAGGGCUGGAAGGAAGAGGCUGAAGGGAAUUAAAAUCAUUUUCUCCGGGAUUUCUCUUAUGACGCAGCAAGUUAAGAAUCUGGUGGUGUCACUCACUGCAGGGGCCUGGGUUGCUGCUGUGGUGCAGGUUCAAUCUCGACCCUGGGCGCGGCCCAAAAAAUGGAAAAAAAUAUAUCCGUUUCAACAACUUUCAAGGAAACAGCUGAAUAGCUUCAAAAUGGACUUCCUGGAUGUCCACAGAAAAUGAGGGAGCGCCUUACCGUGUACCAGGAAGUGUGGAAAGCACUUUAGAUGCUCUUGCAUUUUUUUCCCCAUUUUCUGGAUGAGGAAAAUGAGGUGUAAAGAAAUUAUCACCAAAGGUCACACAGCAAGAAAAAUAUGCUAGUGGACCCUACUCUGUCUGCCUCCCAAAUGCAAGCUUAUAAACCCUUCCAAAUGUAACCAAAACAGGAUUACGAUUAAAGAUAAGGAAGUACCUGCAGGCUGUCAAAGCGGGAGAGGUGACAGAUCUUUUGGGGUCUUCGAGGAAAGGAAGUGACAUUUGUGUCUUGUCGCUCCAAAGUCACUGUGACACCAUCCUCUGGAGCUCAGGAAGCUGAGACAGUCUUGGUGUGGAAGAGAAAGAACUUGAAUGCAGACAUCGGGUCUGGUUCUGCCUUUGACCAGCCCUGUGACCCUGAGCAGGCCCCUUUAGUUUUUAAGUGGAGAGCGACACGGAGGUCCGUGGUUGGUUGAAUGAGUUCAUCUCCGGGGGACUUUGCCAGUCUGAACUGGGCUGCAGGUGUAUACUCCUCCAGGCAGAUGGCAUGCCUGUGGAGAGAGCUAAGUGAUAAAGCCAGGAGGUCUUGAGGAAAAGACUCUUUUCAUACUGCCCUCAGAAUCAAAAUGAAUGUGUUGCCGAGUGUUCAACGGCAAAACAAAAAAUAAAAACAAAAAACCCAGGAAACCA